rnacentral:rRNA from 1 species
UGGUGGAGUGAUUUGUCUGGUUAAUUCCGUUAACGAACGAGACCUCGACCUGCUAAAUAGUUCGGCGAAUCCUUCGGGAUUCGACCGUGACUUCUUAGAGGGACUAUCGGUGUGUAGCCGAUGGAAGUUCGAGGCAAUAACA